AACGUAGGUUCCGAGCGUUAUCCGGAUUUACUGGGCGUAAAGCGCGCGCAGGCGGUCCUUUAAGUCUGAUGUGAAAGCCCACGGCUCAACCGUGGAAGGUCAUUGGAAACUGGGGGACUUGAGUGCAGAAGAGGAAAGUGGAAUUCCAAGUGUAGCGGUGAAAUGCGUAGAUAUCGGGAGGAGCACCAGUGGCGAAGGCGACUACCUGGCCUGUUCUUGACGCUGAGGCGCGAAAGCUAGGGGAGCAAACGGG
rnacentral:rRNA from 1 species